rnacentral:rRNA from 1 species
UCUGGUAGCAAUAGCGGAGAGGACACACCUGUUCCCAUGCCGAACACAGCAGUUAAGCUCUCCAGCGCCGAUGGUAGUUGGGGUUUUACCCCUGCAAGAGUAGGACGCCGCCAGGC